GGAAUAUUGGACAAUGGGCGCAAGCCUGAUCCAGCCAUGCCGCGUGAGUGAUGAAGGCCCUAGUGUUGUAGAGCUCUUUCAGUGGGGAAGAUAAUGACGGUACCCACAGAAGAAGCCCCGGCUAACUUCGUGCCAGCAGCCGCGGUAAUACGAAGGGGGCUAGCGUUGUUCGGAAUCACUGGGCGUAAAGCGCACGUAGGCGGACUUUCAAGUCAGGGGUGAAAUCCCGGGGCUCAACCUCGGAACUGCCUUUGAUACUGUUGGUCUCGAGUCCGGAAGAGGUGGGUGGAAUUCCUAGUGUAGAGGUGAAAUUCGUAGAUAUUAGGAAGAACACCGGUGGCGAAGGCGGCCCACUGGUCCGGUACUGACGCUGAGGUGCGAAAGCGUGGGGAGCAAAC
rnacentral:rRNA from 1 species